CAAAAAAAUCUGCCUUGGGCCCCUGGAAAGCUCUGGGCAGCCCUGUUUUCUAGUUGCCGUAACUGUUCAGUACAGUGUACAUUUCUGACAAAAUAAUAUCUGCAAAUAAACCAGUGCAUAACUUUAUAUUCUGUUUGGCAUCUUACAAUGCCUUUACUUUAGUUUCACUAUAGUUAUAGCAUUAAAAGUUUAAAACAUUAAAAUGAAAU